ensembl:lncRNA
UCUGGAUCCCCAGCCACCCAAAAUAAUUCCCUGUUUGCCAAGGGAACUGUUGCUGGAUCAGCACUGGAUGUCAUCUGCUCAACCUGGCCCCAUCCCAGGACUCCAUGGCAAAUCCCCUGGGUGACAUCUGACAUGUCUUGCUUGUAAAACCCGCUCAGAUCUUGUCCCAGCCUCUUGGAAUGAAUGCUGCUUGUGUCUUAAGCCUCUCAGUCAUGUGAGGAUUUUGUAAUGUGGGACACAGCAUUGGCUGAACUGACCUAAGCACCCUGUGGCUGCCCUCUGCACGGCUGCACAUGUUCACAGGGCACGCCAGGUGCUUCUCACCUGAUUUGGACAGCUAAGAGAAACUCCUCUGGGGUUAAGACAAUGUCAAGAAUUCCCAAAAUUGUCACUGAAGACAGGCCAGCUCCUCCCAGAAAGCUGCUUCCCUCCUAUGAUGGUUAUCCCAAGGUUAUCCCAUGCACACAACUAGAAGAAGCCCAGUGGACUGUCUUAGGUCCAGACAAGUAAAUCUUUGGUGUCUAACAGAGAUGCAAACUUGGAUCUGCAGCCCCAGCUGUAAAAAUCUGACAACUCUGAAAGUCUCUCCAGAGGUCUGAAGUAAAGGUGAAAUUACCUUUAAAUUGCUCCAUCUUGGACCUUUUGGAAUUUUCCUUUCAGAAGCACAGGCAGCUUCAUCCUGCCUCCCCCAACAGACUGCAACCUCUACAGCAAGGAGAGAAAUUCCAACCCACAAGAGAUGGCAUGGAGCACCAAAGAGAUCCAAAUCAGUUAUCCAACAGCCAGGACAGGUGCAUGUACCAAACAGAAAGGAUUUAGGAACCAGUGGACUAUUUUCCACCACUGCCUUCUCAGAUGCCCAUACCAAAGCAAUUACUGCAUGGGAGAUGCCGACUGGCUGGAAGAACCUGUUCAUUCUGGGUCUGGAAUGGAGUCUGUGAGGAGCUCAGUUUCCUGGGGUGGAAGGAGGGGGCUAGUCCCAACAAUGGACAUAGUGCUGUCUCGGGCUAGAAGAAUGUGGAGACUCACUGCGUUCUCUGAUACUCGUUUCGCUCUCACAGAGGAGGAAGAUGAUUAAAGUCCUGGUUUGGGACACAGGAAACCUGAGUUGAAACUGCUGACUCUGCCACAACCUCCUUUGUCUGGUUUUGUGCAAGUUGCUUUGUUUAUGCCUUAGUGGCUGCAAUUGUCAUGCAUAAAUAAUACAAUUCCCUUCCCUUCUCCUCGGGGCAACAAUGGUGUUUCA